rnacentral:rRNA from 1 species
GACGAACGCUGGCGGCGUGCUUAACACAUGCAAGUCGAACGGUGAGGGGGGGACUUCCUUCGCUGCCAGAGUGGCGAACGGGUGUGUAACACGUGAGUAAUCUGCCCUUGACUUCGGAAUAACUACAGGAAACUGGGGCUAAUACCGGCUAUGCGCCGGAGAUGCAUCGGUAUCGUUGGAAAAUAGCUUCGGUAAGGGAUGGGCUCGCGGCCUAUCAGCUUGUUGGUGGGGUAACGGCUCACCCAGGCAACGACGGGUAGCCGGCCUGAGAGGGUGACCGGGCACAUUAGGACUGAGACACGGCCCAGACUGCUACGGGAGGCAGCAGUGGGGAAGAUGGCACAAUGGGCGGAAGUCUGAUGCAGCAACGCCGCGUGAGGGAUGACGGCCUUCGGGUUGUAAACCUCUUUCUGCUGGGAAGAAGCGUGAGUGACGGUACCGGCAAAAGAAGCGCCGGCUAACUACGUG